GGCCAUCCCAGAUAAUCGCGACGCUUCUCGGAUCAUGAUCCGAGAUGAUAAGGCCGCGUGCAGGCGGUUAUCGGCAUGCACAAAACUAACGCUUCGCGGCAUUACUCCUCCUUCAAAGAAGCAUCAACCCGAUGCUAAAAAAAACAGCAGGUACAAAGGCAAAUAGGCAAAUAAGGACAGAUCAUACACACAAAAAAGAAACUAGAAAUGCAAACAGAGAGCGUCCUUUAGCGCGCAUGGUGAGGCUUUAGGCGGGCGACAUGCACCACUUCU
rnacentral:lncRNA from 1 species